rnacentral:rRNA from 1 species
UACGUAGGGGGCAAGCGUUGUCCGGAUUUAUUGGGCGUAAAGAGCGUGUAGGCGGCCAGACAGGUCCGUUGUGAAAACUGGAGGCUCAACCUCCAGACGUCGAUGGAAACCGUCUGGCUAGAGUCCGGAAGAGGAGAGUGGAAUUCCUGGUGUAGCGGUGAAAUGCGCAGAUAUCAGGAAGAACACCCGUGGCGAAAGCGGCUCUCUGGGACGGUACUGACGCUAAGGCGCGAAAGCGUGGGGAGCGAACAGG